rnacentral:rRNA from 1 species
CCCUUAGAGUUUGAUCCUGGCUCAGGAUGAACGCUGGCGGCGUGCCUAAUACAUGCAAGUCGAACGAGAACCAGAUUUCGGUCUGGGGGCAGUGGCGGACGGGUGAGUAACACGUAGAUGACCUGCCUCGAAGAAGGGGACAACGGCGCGAAAGCGCUGCUAAUACCCUAUAAGCUCACGCGGAUUAGAAGCGUGUGAGAAAAGCUCCGACGCUUCGAGAGGGGUCUGCGGGCCAUCAGCUAGUUGGCGGGGUAACAGCCCACCAAGGCAGUGACGGCUAGGGGGCCUGAGAGGGUGGUCCCCCACACGGGAACUGAGAAACGGUCCCGACUCCUACGGGAGGCAGCAGUAAGGGAUAUUGCACAAUGGGCGCAAGCCUGAUGCAGCAACGCCGCGUGCCCGAUGAAGGCCUUCGGGUCGUAAAGGGCUUUUCUGGCUGAAGAGGAAGGACAGUAAGCCAGGAAUAAGUGUCGGCUAACUACGUGCCAGCAGCCGCGGUAAAACGUAGGACGCAAGCGUUAUCCGGAGUUACUGGGCGUAAAGCGCGGGCAGGCGGCCUGGGAAGUCUGAUGUGAAAGCGCCCGGCUCAACCGGGCGAGGCCAUUGGAAACUUUCAGGCUGGAGGGCAGUAGAGGUAGGCGGAAUUCCGGGGUGGAGUGGUGAAAUGCGUAGGGAUCCGGAGGAACACCAGAGGCGAAGCGGCCUACUGGGCUGCACCUGACGCUGAGCCGCGAAAGCAGGGGAGCGAACGGGAUAGAAAC